UUCAGAGCAUCGCCAAGCUUUUCGGUCACCACCCAUUCAUUCACCCUGCCUGUCUCUAACAGGCCGAUCAGCGUGGCCUUUGUUCUAUGCAGUGACAUAACAUUCUCGAAGAGGACCCAAAAGAUAAGUAAGUGCAAUGACCUGCAUCAUUGCAUAUUUUCAUGUAAAUUUUUAGGUUGCUCAGAACUGCAAAGCUCUGGAAGUAAAACUGUAGGUUGGAUUUGGCACCUUGGAGUCCCAAUAGAAUUGAGAAUGGUGACGAUGGAUGGCAAAUAGACGUAACCCCACCUUGGUAUCUCAACUUCUGGAAUUAAAACCGUUGCCGGGACAACAAGGCAGUAAAACACAAAGGUCACAAUGUGUCCAAUAAUCUUGCGCACCAAAAAGAAGUUGUAGAUCACAUAGAUCUUCUUCCACAAUGUCACUUUCUGCAUCAAGAUCAAUGGCUUGUUAGCAACAAGAUGCAUGUGUGUUAUAACUUAUAAAAUAUUUCCAUAAUAUAGCUUGGUGCAAGGGACCUUGUUUGUGGCAAUCUCCACCAACAUUUUCCUGAACAGGUUUGCCGGUCCGCAGGACCAUCUGUGUUGUUGAUACCGGAAUGCUUUGAAUGUACUUGGAAGUUCACUUUUCACCU
rnacentral:sRNA from 1 species